rnacentral:rRNA from 1 species
AUUGAACGCUGGCGGCAGGCCUAACACAUGCAAGUCGGACGGUAGCACAGAGGAGCUUGCUCCUUGGGUGACGAGUGGCGGACGGGUGAGUAAUGUCUGGGGAUCUGCCCGAUAGAGGGGGAUAACCACUGGAAACGGUGGCUAAUACCGCAUAACGUCGCAGGACCAAAGAGGGGGACCUUCGGGCCUCUCACUAUCGGAUGAACCCAGAUGGGAUUAGCUGGUAGGCGGGGUAAUGGCCCACCUAGGCGACGAUCCCUAGCUGGUCUGAGGGGAUGACCGGCCACACUGGAACUGAGACACGGUCCAGACUCCUACGGGAGGCAGCAGUGGGGAAUAUUGCACAAUGGGCGCAAGCCUGAUGCAGCCAUGCCGCGUGUAUGAAGAAGGCCUUCGGGUUGUAAAGUACUUUCAGCGGGGAGGAAGGCGGUGAGGUUAAUAACCUCGCCGAUUGACGUUACCCGCAGAAGAAGCACCGGCUAACUCCGUGCCAGCCGCCGCCGUAA